GAUGAACGCUGGCGGCGUGCCUAAUACAUGCAAGUCGAGCGAACAGACGAGGAGCUUGCUUCUCUGACGUUAGCGGCGGACGGGUGAGUAACACGUGGAUAACCUACCUAUAAGACUGGGAUAACUUCGGGAAACCGGAGCUAAUACCGGAUGAUAUUUUGAACCGCAUGGUUCAAUAGUGAAAGACGGUCUUGCUGUCACUUAUAGAUGGAUCCGCGCCGCAUUAGCUAGUUGGUAAGGUAACGGCUUACCAAGGCAACGAUGCGUAGCCGACCGGAGAGGGUGAUCGGCCACACUGGAACUGAGACACGAUCCAGACUCCUACGGGAGGCAGCAGUAGGGAAUCUUCCGCAAUGGGCGAAAGCCUGACGGAGCAACGCCGCGUGAGUGAUGAAGGUCUUCGGAUCGUAAAACUCUGUUAUUAGGGAAGAACAUAUGUGUAAGUAACUAUGCACGUCUUGACGGUACCUAAUCAGAAAGCCACGGCUAACUACGUG
rnacentral:rRNA from 1 species